CCUAGAAACAAGUCACAGAGAGAAGUGUGUGGGUGACUAUAGUUCUGAAGUAGAAAGAAGAAUUUCCAGUUAAUUCCCUCUUGAACGUCUAAAAUGCUGCCCACAGACACUACUGAGAAGACAUUUGACAUGAACUGGCAAGAAAGGAUCCAUGUAUGAGUCUUUGAACAGAGAAAAAAUUCUCAAAAGAAUAUUACUCAUCUUAAAGACUUCCAUGGAAUAAAGUUCAUGAAGUGUCUGCAAUAGAAAAAUAGAUUCCUGUUCAAUAUGCAAAUGUCUGGAGUAGUCUCACAAUGGGGACUCAACACAAGCUGGAAGUGGCACGCCUUGCCUUCCUUCUAGUAAGCCUUCCCUGGGUUCAGUCUGCUCUGAAUGGCCAUGGCACUGCUUUUAUGUAUACAUUUUACAUCCAAGUUGGCUUAUGGACAAUCUUUCCUUCUAGAUAGCAGACGCUCCGGGGACACUCUAUGUGUCUUACAUACCCUAUGUUCACACUGUCCAAAUGAAUAGUCCUCUAUUUCAUGAGUCAUUCCUUCUCCUAUUAUAUUGUAGCCAUAAUCAAUAUUCCUACAACUAUAGAAGCUAUAAGUGUUUAAAAGCAUCUAAAAUGCCUUAUAUGAUCCAUAUGGUGUUAUGAAAUCUUUCUGCUUUGCCUUGAUCUGCAUAUACAGAAUGUAUAACAGGCUGACCAACACAAACUUAGAGAGGACCUGCUGGAGCUCAAGAUUUCGGGUGUGUCUCUUCAGAUUCUUGGUCUUACAGACUUGGGCAUGACAGCAGUGGGACAUGAGCAGGGUCUCAUCUCAUGGAAAACAGGACUCAGAGAAAAGGAAGGGAGAGGGGAAGAUUCAGUCUUCCACAGGAAGCCACGAGUGAUUACUUCCCUCCAACUAAAUCCCACCUCCUCAAGUUUCCACACACCACACCCCCCAAUGAACUGAAAGAACCCUAGCAUGGAAUAUGUCUACUUUGAUCCCAGCACUCCAGAGGCAGGAGCAGGUGGAGUCCCUGUUUUGCUUAGUAUAGUUUUAGCUUGUAACCAGUUCUGGGAUAAGGCAUUUAACUCAUGAUGCUGUGGGCACCUUGCAUCUCCAAGCUAACCACUGCAUAAUUU
rnacentral:lncRNA from 1 species